UAAAUUUCAAAAGCGCAUAAACUGUUCGAUAUCAUAUACAAAAUAUCUAAGCGACAUAUUGCGAAACAAAUGUUUAUCGCAAGAACAAAAUUAGGCGGAAGAAAAAAAAAAAAAAUAUAAAUCAAUUGCUUUUAAAAAGCAAUUGUGAACGGUCUUUCACCCCUUAAAAAGAUGAUUGAUUGAUGUGUGUGUGUGUGUGUGUGUGUGUGUGUGUUUGUUUGUUUGUUUGUUUGUUUGUUUGUUUGUUUGUUUGUUUGUUUGUUUGUGUAAGUGGUCUAUAGUAUUGUGUUACCGGAGAAGUUUCAUGUUUAGUUUGGAAAGUGUUUCUUUUAUUUUAGGUACAGCGCGCGCGACAUCACGUGACACGGGUUUAUAAUAACGAAAACUUUUUAUAUCUUUUUAGGUGGGGACGUUGAACAGACAACAUGUAUAGAGACGGAAUGCACACAAUGUAAUUUCUUUUGUCAUUGUAGGAAAUUGACAUUUUGAUCACAGGUCACGGGCAGUGCAUGUUUUGGAUUUAAUCGAUCCGGUGUAACUUUAAAACACAUUUAAUGAUUAUUUUCUGAUAAUGUACAUUUUUCAGCACCUGUUUGUAACACAGAUUAGUAUUUCAAUCUCGGAGCGGACAUUUUAUUGUAGGUUUUUACUGAGAUUUACGGACCUAGCAAGCGAUUUUUACGGUAUUGCCAUUUCUUUUCUCUAGGAAAAGUCUUGAGAGAUAUCUGCACCAAGUUUUUUUUAUGAACCUUUAUUACAUGUAUGCCCUGCUGACUGCAAAUUUUGAGGUCGAUUGGACUUGUAGUUUCAGAGUACAUGUGGAUUUUUUUUUCAGAAGAGACGUAAGAACAAUAUUAAAUUUCAAUUUUUCUUGAAUAAUUGAGAGUUUGUUCCUUCACUAUACUGUCAUAAAUAAACAGUCAUACAUAUUGAUUGAUUGAUUGAUUGAUUGAUUGAUUAGUUGGUUGAUUGAUUGAUUGAUUGAUUGUUUG
rnacentral:lncRNA from 1 species